rnacentral:rRNA from 1 species
UACGUAGGGGGCAAGCGUCGUCCGGAAUUAUUGGGCGUAAAGGGCACGCAGGCGGCGAUUUAAGUUUGGUGUUUAAUCCCAGGGCUCAACCCCUGGUACGCACUGAAAACUGGGUCACUUGAGUGCAGAAGAGGAGAGUGGAAUUCCACGUGUAGCGGUGAAAUGCGUAGAGAUGUGGAGGAACACCAGUGGCGAAGGCGACUCUCUGGUCUGUAACUGACGCUGAGGUGCGAAAGCGUGGGUAGCAAACAGG